AUGCAUCACAAGAGAUUUCUCUCAAGAGAUCGGUCGUGGUGGGUUUGGAGUAGUUUACCUGGUGAUCUUGGUACUGGGAAGGUUGCUGUGAAGAGACUUUCCAUAACAAUGGGUUUUUCUGACACGCUCUUUGUAGAUGAGAUUAAGUGUUUAAUAAGGACAGAACACCAUAAUAUAGUGAGAUUUCUAGGUUAUUGUGCGGAUACACACGGGGAAUUGGUGCCAUUCAAUGGAAGCUAUGUGCUAGCAGAGGUACCACAACGGUUGCUUUGCUUCGAGUAUGUCCCUAAUGGAAACCUUCAGAAGUAUCUCAAUGAUAAGUCGCAUAAAGAUGACUGGCAAAUACGGUACCAAAUGAUUAUGGGAAUUUGUCAUGGUUUGAACUAUCUCCACAACCAACGUGUUAAUCAUUUAGAUUUAAAACCCGACAAUAUUCUUUUGGAUGCAUGUUUGGAACCAAAAAUCACGGACUUCGGGAUAUCAAGAUGCUUUGAUGAAGGAAUAUCAAGAGUUUACACUAAAAUCGUUCGUGGAACACCGGGUUGUAUUGCACCAGAGAUCAUUGACAGUGGAGAAAUAACGUUCAAGUCAGACAUUUAUGGUUUGGAUAUCAUAAUCAUAAAACUAUUAACUGGGUGUAACAACUAUGACUUUGAAAAUUGGCAUACAUCUGUAGACAUGGACGACGGCCCACAAGUAAAGACAUGUGUUGAAAUAGCUCAAACAUGUGUGGCUUUUAACCAACAUGAUAGACCUGCAAUUGGUGAGAUCAUGCAAAAGUUGGACAACAUAGCGAGGUCGUGA
rnacentral:rRNA from 1 species